CUUUGUGUAAUUUCACAAUGUUUAAUGCGUACACAGUUUGAUUGGAAUUGUCUUUGUUGUGUUUCCAAUGAUAAACUAAGAGCAUGUAUUCGAAAUAAUUGUUUUUUUUUUUAUUAUUAUUAUUAUUAUUAUUAUUAUUAUUUUGUGGAUUGAGCACUUAUUCAACAAAAAUGAAUUUGGACAGAUUGAUUCGUAAAAAAGAUCGGGCAAUCAUUGACAAUAAUCCGGCUCAAUUGGCUGCAGCAUAUAAAAACCUGGGCGAUUGGUAUCACGAAAAUCAACAGUAUGAAAAUGCCUUGGGCUGUUAUAAGGAGGAGGCUAAUAUUUACGAAUCGCUGGGAAAGCGCUUGGAGAAGGCCAAAGCACAUCGAAUGAUUGGCGAAAUGUAUAUGUUACAAGAAAAUUUUGACAAUGCUCUCAAAUACGAACUGAGCUAUUUGACUACAGCCGUUGAUCAAAACAACAAAAUCGAAGAACAACGAGCAUAUGCAACGAUUGGACGCGUGUAUUUAACAAAAGCGCAAAGUCAAUUGAAUGCACCGCAAAAACCUGAUGAUUUAUCAAAAUGUAUAAAAAGUGCCGAAAAGCAGUUUUUAAAAAGUUUGCUCAUUUGCAAGAGUUUAAACGAUUUGCCAAAACAUGAGAUUUUUGAUAUGACGGCACGUCUUUAUUUGAAUUUGGCCCUAACGUAUGAAUGCAAAGAAGAGUUCAACGAAGCAAUAAAGUAUUUUGAAAAGGCAAUGUCAAUAUGCCGGCACAACGAUUUCUGGGAAUUGUUGCACAAGUGUUAUUUGGAUGCCGGUUUGAUGUAUUUCAAUAAGCUAAAUGAUUCGACGAAAGCAUUGCAACUACUUAAUUUGGCCAUAAACAUUGCCGAGCGUUUAACCACCGAUCGAGUUGUUCGCAUAUGCCAAACGCUUCUUUCAAAAUCUGAGGUAUUAAUUAAAAUGGCCGAUUUCCAGGGUGCCAAACAAAUUCUACAUAAAGCGUACAAAUUGAAAACGCCCGAAGAAAGUGAUGCAGAAUCCAUUGCAACAAAUUUGAAAAUUGUGGCUGCAAUGUGCAAAGCGGAAAAUGCACUUAUUACAAUAGACUCGGACAAUCAGAUUGAACGUAAAAAAUUAUAUGAAAAAUUGGGAGAUGGAUCAUGUAAGUUGCGAAAUUUUUCAGCUGCUAUUGGUUACUACAAGAAAAUGCUUGAUGCGGCUAAAAAGAAUGGUGACAAUGGGCAUCAAUUGAUUCCGGUUUAUGUAAGCCUCUAUCAAACAUAUCGUGAUAUGAAUGAAUAUGAUCUUGCAUUGGAUUAUAUGCAAAAAGAAUACGAGCUGUGUAAGGAUGUGCCAGAAGAAAAAUUAUCAACACUACUUGGAAUUGCGGAAACACAAUCAUUAGCUGAUAAAGAUUUUUGGACGAUUGAUGGGACCUAUGAAGAAGCAAGAAAAAUUGCACAAAAUAUGGCCAAUAAAAAGAAAGAGAAAAUCGUACUUUUAAAACAAUUGACAUUAAGAGAGAAACAUUCAAUGGCUACAUUGGCCGAUAUUAUGAGAGAAGAAUUGAAAUCGAGUAAUUUUAAUAUGUCGGAUUGCGGCGAUGAUGAAGAUACUAACGAUGAUAUCGAUUCUGAAGAAUUAAAUACACCAGAUGUUGGAGAUGACAUAUGUUUGGAAACGUUGUCCGAUUCAGCAAACGAAAAUGAAGAAGAAGAAGAAGAAAACGAUCGAAAAUCAAAUCUUACAACCAAUCAGCCACGUACACUUAGAAAACGCGGAUAUUUUACCGUUAAGAAAAAUGAAAAAGGUGAAUCACAAUUACACCGAGCAUGUAUUGCAGGAAAUUUAACAAUGGCACGUCGAUUGAUUGAUCAAGGGCACCCGGUGAAUGUUCGUGAUCACGCCGGUUGGUUGCCAUUACAUGAAGCCGCCAAUCAUGGAUUUACUGAAAUAGUGGAACUUCUAUUGGACAAUGGUGCGACGAUCAAUGAUAAAGGUGGAACUGGCUGUGAAGGUUUUACUCCUCUGCACGAUGCUUGUGGAAAUGGUGUACUAAAUGUGGUUGAAUUGCUAUUGAAUCGCGGUGCAAAUGCAACGUUAAAGAAUGAUAAAGGUGAUACAGCAUUACAGACGCUGGUAAAAUGGCGAAAGGAUCGAAUCUUAAAUGUCCAAGAGCAAAGUUUCUAUGAAAUAAUUUAUGAACGGAUGUACAAACAAUUGGAAAAAGCCGGUGUUAGUGCUUGUGUCGAUGAAUCACAUACACAAGAUCAACAAUCAACUAAAAAUCACAGUUUAUUGAAGAAACCAUCAAUGACUUCUCGUAAUCGGAUUGUAAGUGAAUCAACAUCAAGCGAAGAUGAUAAUAAUGAGAAUGGUUUGCCAGAAAGUGAAGAAUUUGAUACAAUCGAUAGUAUUAUAAAUAAAGAAUUGCCGUCAACAUCUCCAGAACAAGAACGAGAACGUUUACGAGAAUCGUCUCCAACAUCACCAUGCACUAAUUAUCGAAAAGUGAUGUCUGAUUUAAGAAAACGAACCUUUUCGAGUGAUGUAAAUGUGAUAUCCAAAUCAUUGAAACCAGUGGAGAAGGCGGCAAAAAAAUCGGCAAUGUUAGCUCCAAAUGAAAUUUCUGACGAUGAUUGGCUCGAAAAUGACCUGGAACCGAGUGCAAAACGUCGUCGAUAUUUAAACGAUAGAACAUUUUCGGCCGAAUCAAAUAAAUCAACAAAUUGUAAAAAAGAAAAACAAAAACUUUCGGGAUCUUCUCUAAACGAUUCAAUGGUUGUUUCAUCAACGAAUAAUGGGAUUUUAAGCGAUGAUUCAGAUGAAGGAAAUGCAUUCAAUGUUCUUAUGCAGUCGAAUCAAAAUGUGCGCCGAACAAAACGACGUACCUCUACAUCGAGUAACAAUCGUUUUUCGGGCGAAUCAAAUUCAAUGAUGCAAUCAUCUUUGCUCGAAAGCGGGUUUCAAAGACAUCGGCCUGUUUCACCCGAUCUUGUAUUUCUAUCGUCUGUAUCAUCAACGGUUACUUCGCCACAUAAAAUUAUUAACAUGACACCCAUUCAAUCACAUUCGGUCAAAGUACAAGUAUCAGAUCUUUAUUUAAACAUACCGGUUAAUUUAAAUAAUGCGAACGACUUGACUAUCGAAUGGUUGGCAGAAGAGGCAGCAAAACGAUAUUAUAGUUUGAAAGGACUACAACCAGUGCUGCGGUUGACCACUAAAGAUGGUGCCAUUUUUGAAAAUUCGGAUCCAAUAAGUUUAGCAUUUGCUGAAAAUUCGACGAUAUCAUCGACAGUUUUGGAAUGGAUUAUGCCCCCAUUGGCCCAACGUUAUAUGGAAACCUGCGCUCAAAUAAAAACCAAUGCCGAUCCAUUUAUCAAAUCUCAAAUUGAACUCAUCGCCUCAACGCAGUGGCUUUCAAUUAAUGAUCAGAUAUUAUCGCCCAAAUACAGUCGCCCACUAUUUAAAGCGUUACACUAUCAAUCGAAUAUCACCAAAAUUGACCUCACAAACAGUUUUAUAGAAGAUGAAGGAAUGAAACAUCUUGUACAAGCAUUACCAACAAUGAAACAAAUCGUUUACUUAAAUCUUAGUGGGAAUUUGAUAACAGCCACCGGAAUAAAGCAUUUCAGCAGCAUAUUUGAUGAUGAAAUAUCAGAAUGUUUGCCCGAAUUAAAAACCAUCAUUCUAAAUCAUAAUCCGCUACAAAAUAAAAGCCUGACUGCUCUGGAAAAAAUCUGUUGCAAUCUAAAUCAAUUGACAACGUUACACUUAUGCUCCACUGAGUUAACCGAUCUCCAAAGCAUUGAUUUGCGAUUCUCGCAAUUGAUCAAUGUUGAUUUAAGUUUCAAUAAUUUCACACCAACUGGCUUGUUAAAUUCCGUCGAAAAGCUGAAUUCAUGUAAAUUGGAGAAAUUGAAAUUGUCAUUUUGUGGUUGCCAAUUGAAUAGACAAGAAAUGUCCGAACGAAACUUAGUAGAUGCACUAACAAAAUCUUUGGAUGCUGGCAAUUGCUCCAAUUUGGAAGAGAUUCAUUUGUGUGGAUUGAAUUUGAAUGAUGUUGAUUGCUGGCAGAUCGUACAAUCGCUAAAACGAUCAAAAAAAUUGAAAACACUGUCAUUGAGAGGCAAUUCACUGUUGACGAAGGUUACAUGGAAAUUGCUAUUGGAAAAUUUAACGGUACACAAUUUAUAUUUGGAAGGCUGUAAAAUAUUACUCAACGAUCUGAAUGCACAUGAUGAAGAAGCAUUGAACAAGUUUACAAAUUGCUGUGAAAAUAUCAAAGUAUCAUUAAAUGAAGAUAACACUGAUAUAAAUCAAUUUGAGAUAGUUAAACGCAUUUGGAGUACUGUUACACAUUACGCUGGAAAAGUAUUUAGCAAAGCAUACUUACUUAAAAAUUACUAUAUUCCAUUACUCUACAAUUCCUGAUCCAUUCCUUAGAUUCAUUUUCCAUUCUCUUCCAUUAUCAUCAUUCACAUAUAUUCUAUUAUAAGAAACUAUAUAGUUUGACCAGACACAAACGCACACACGUACGAAAGAAACACAUUGCUGACAAAUAUUUGAGAUUUGGUAUGUAGUAGAGAGAUGAGCCGGUGUUCACACAACAGCAUAGGAGCAAUUACACAGCGACAAUAAGGUGCUGCGAAUGUACGAACAUACGACACCAGUAACAACAACAAAAGAAACAACAAAUCGGACACAUCAAAUGACGAAGAAGAAUAUGGACACAUUUUUAGUUCUUACACUGGGAAUCGUCAGUUUGUCCACAAGCGAUGUCAGAAUCCUGAAAAUAUGAAUACAAAGGAUCGUUUCUUAGUUUGCCCCAACCAUGAACGGGUCCACAAUCGUAUUCUUUCCCGUCAGAAAUUAAAGGAAUUUUCUCCUCGGUCAUCUCCCGUAGUUUAAUCCUUCUACGAGUAAUUUACGUUGUAUGAUGAUCAACGAUCUCACCACUACUACUACUGCUACUACCAAAUCUCAAAUUAAAACAAUGAUUUCGAGCUUAAACUAUAUACUUUCUUUUUUUAAUUUGAUUUUCAAUUUUGUUCCAUUACCUAUUGAUUAAUUUCCAUUUUUUCCGUUCUUUUCUUCUGAUCAACUCUAGGUAUUUCGACAACAUCAAACGGUGUGGCUGACAACAGCGCCAGAAAAACAUACAAUUGAAAAUUGGGAAUACUGCCAUAUCUAAUCAUAUCAUUUU